UUCCCGCAGCCUUUGCUCCAGCCCCUCCUCGCAGCCCUGCCAUUGCUGCCCCUGCCUGUGACCCCUGCCCGAGACCUCUGCCUGUCAUCCCUGACCCCUGUUCCCUCCCUGAGACCCCUGAUCCCUGCCCGAGACCUUUGCCCAUCAUCCCUCCUGUGACCCCUGCCCCUGCUCCUGCCCCCGCCCGGGCUGGGGUCACCGCGGCCCCGAGCUGGACGCAGGGCUGGGUGCAGGGAAACACCCACCCCGGUGCCAGCUGCAGCAUGGGGUGAUUGCAGCACAAACCACGCGGUGCUGAUUUAAUGUUUGUUUUUCAGUUCCCCUGUGACACUUUUAGCCUCUGUGGAGAUUGAGAAACCCUCUGUUGGAGAAGCAACGGGAAACCCCAGAGCAAGAGUUUGGUUUCUGCAGAGACAAGGCCAGCGAUAAACAGAGACAGACUUUCUAAUUUGGGGGUUGUGAUGUGGGUGGAUGCUGCAAGAUAAACCAGCUGCCAGGAGCUGCUGUCCCAGUGCUCACUGUGGCACAGCAGGGACUGGUGAGGACUGAAGGGUCAGGGGUGCUCAGUUCCCAGUUCUGCAGCUGCAGAGCCUGCACAGCCGCUGCUGACACAGCUCCAGACCUCAGAUCAUCCAGCUGAGCUGUGACUCUCUCUGCUCCUGUGGGAAGGAGGCAGAGGCAGCAGGGAUUUACAUAACCCUCUGCCAAGGAGGCAGGAACAAGAAAUAUCACUCAGGAAUGUGUUCCCUGGAUGGGUUCAGCUGCUUUGGUCCCCCAGCACAGCCAGCCAUCCCCAGCAGGCAGAUGCCAGGCUGGAAGCAUGGAAUGGCUCGGCCUGGCUGUUCCCUGCCUGGCACAAAAGGAAGCAGCAGCUGAGCCUCUCCUGUCCCAGGACAUCCAGCUCAGCCUGGACGUGGCCGGCCGUGCAGGCUGACCACACGUCAUUGUGGACACAUCCAACAAGCUCCAAAGUGGCAGAACUGGGAUUUCCAGUCUGUUCCCGUGCCCACGGGGACACCCCACGCUGGCUCUGCGCCACAGAAGAGGAACAGCACGAGU